GCCAGCAACCAUCCUACCUCAAGCUGUGAGCCCAUCAAAUCUCACAAGCUAAGUAGGGCUAAGCCUGAUUAGUAUUUGGGUAGGAGACCUACAGGAAAAUCCUAGGAGUUGUGGGAA
rfam:Chelonia mydas contig255684, whole genome shotgun sequence.